GAUGAAGAACGUAGCGAAAUGCGAUAAGUAAUGUGAAUUACAGAAUUCAGUGAAUCAUCGAAUCUUUGAACGCACAUUGCGCCCCUUGGUAUUCCGAGGGGCAUGCCUGUUCGAGCGUCAUUAUAACCCUUCAAGCUCAGCUUGGUGUUGGGGCCUGCUGUAACUGGUAGCCCUUAAAAUCAGUGGCAGUGCUAUUAGGCUCUAAGCGUAGUAAUUCUUCUCGCUAUAGUGUGUAGUGAGCGCUUGCCAGAACCCCAAACUUUUAUAUGAUUGACCUCGGAUCAGGUAGGGAUACCCGCUGAACUUAAGCAUAUCAAUAAGCGGAGGA
rnacentral:misc_RNA from 1 species